rnacentral:rRNA from 1 species
CCUUAAAGGAAGGCAGCAGGCGCGCAAUUACCCAAUCCUGACUCAGGGAGGUAGUGACAAGAAAUAACAAUAAACCGGCUUAUGCCGGUUUAAUUGGAAUGAGUACAAUUUAAACAUCUUAACGAGGAACAAUUGGAGGGCAAGUCUGGUGCCGGCAGCCGCGGUAAUUCCAGCUCCAAUAGCGUAUACUAAAGUUGUUGCAGUUAAAAAGCUCGUAGUUGGAUUUCUGUGGGGACGGAGCGGCCGGCCGCACAUCGCGGUUCGAGCUAGCGCUUUCCCUACAUCCUGCCGCGAACCGUGCUACCAUUAGUUUGGUGGCGCCGGGGAUCGGCUCGAUUACUUUGAGAAAAAUAGAGUGUUCAAAGCAGGCCACAUGCCUUGAAUAAGUUAGCAUGGAAUAAUAACUAAGGACUUCGGUUCUAUUUUGUUGGUGUUCGGGACUGAAGUAAUGAUUGAUAGGGACAGUUGGGGCGGUCUGUAUUCCAAAGCGAGAGGUGAAAUUCUUAGACCUUCGGAAGACAAACAGCUGCGAAAGCGUUCCGCAAGGAUGUUCCCUUUGAUCAAGAACGAAAGUUGGGGGAUCGAAGACGAUCAGAUACCGUCGUAGUCUCAACUAUAAACUAUACCAGCUAGGGAUCGGCCAACGUUAUUUUAUACCGACUUGGUCGGCACCUUAUGAGGAAUCAAAGCAUCUGGGUUCCGGGGGGAGUAUGGUCGCAAGGCUGAAACUUAAAGGAAUUGACGGAAGGGCACCACCAGCCGUGGAGCCUGUGGCUUAAUUUGACUCAACACGGGAAAACUUACCAGGUCCAGACAUAGUAAGGAUUGACAGAUUGAUAGCUCUUUCUUGAUUCUGUGGGUGGUGGUGCAUGGCCGUUCUUAGUUGGUGGAGUGAUUUGUCUGGUUAAUUCCGUUAACGAACGAGACCCCAGCCUGCUAAAUAGCGCGCGUGAGCUUUGCUCGCGGCGAGCUUCUUAGAGGGACUAUGAUGCGCGAUAGCACAUGGAAGUUUGGGGCAAUAACAGGUCUGUGAUGCCCUUAGAUGUUCUGGGCCGCACACGGGCUACACUGGCGCCUGCAACGAGCAUAUCAGCUGGUCCGAGAGGAUCUUGGCUAAUCUUUUGAACCGGCGCCGUGCUUGGGAUUGACCUUUGCAAUUGUUGGUCAUGCAACGAGGAAUGCCUUGUAAACGCGAGUCAUCAGCUCGCAUUGAAUACGUCCCUGCCCUUUGUACACACCGCCCGUCGCUCCUACCGAUGAAUGUUCCGAUGAAAUUUUCGGAGAGUGCCUGUGAACUUGGCUCUGCCUUGCGAACGGGAAGCUCAAAGUCACUUAAAUUCGAAACUUUAA